GUAGAGGGGAAAUGAAGUUGUUCUCUCUCUGCUUUUCUCCAUCAUCUGUUCUUUUCUGACUUCAUGGCUACACAGAGUGUGAAACUCAGAGAUGAACAUGACGCCGUGCAGAAGAAGACCUUCACCAAGUGGAUCAACGCUCAGUUCUCCAAGACGGGGAAAGCGGCGAUCAAAGACAUGUUCACUGACCUGAGAGACGGCAGAAAACUGCUGGACCU